rnacentral:rRNA from 1 species
GACGAACGCUGGCGGCGUGCUUAACACAUGCAAGUCGAACGGAAAGGCCCUGCUUUUGUGGGGUGCUCGAGUGGCGAACGGGUGAGUAACACGUGAGUAACCUGCCCUUGACUUUGGGAUAACUUCAGGAAACUGGGGCUAAUACCGGAUAGGAGCUCCUGCUGCAUGGUGGGGGUUGGAAAGUUUCGGCGGUUGGGGAUGGACUCGCGGCUUAUCAGCUUGUUGGGGGGGUAGUGGCUUACCAAGGCUUUGACGGGUAGCCGGCCUGAGAGGGUGACCGGCCACCUUGGGACCUAGGUACGGCCCAGGCCCCUACGGGAGGCAGCAGUGGGGAAAUAUGCACAAUGGGCGGAAGCCUGAUGCAGCAACGCCGCGUGCGGGAUGACGGCCUUCGGGUUGUAAACCGCUUUCGCCUGUGACGAAGCGUGAGUGACGGUAAUGGGUAAAGAAGCACCGGCUAACUACGUG